rnacentral:rRNA from 1 species
UACGAGCUGCUACGGCAGCGAAGUGGGUGAUGUCAAGCUUCCAAGAAAAGCCCUAUACCCGUUAAGGCAUGACGGCCUGUACCCGAAACCGACACAGGUGGGGUGGUAGAGAAUACCGAGGGGCGCGAGAUAACUCUCUCUAAGGAACUCGGCAAAAUGGCCCCGUAACUUCGGGAGAAGGGGUGCCACCGCAAGGUGGUCGCAGUGAAGAGGCCCAGGCGACUGUUUACCAAAAACACAGGUCUCCGCUAAGUCGCAAGACGAUGUAUGGGGGCUGACGCCUGCCCAGUGCCGGAAGGUUAAGGAAGCUGGUCAGCGCAAGCGAAGCUAGCGACUGAAGCCCCGGUGAACGGCGGCCGUAACUAUAACGGUCCUAAGGUAGCGAAAUUCCUUGUCGGGUAAGUUCUGACCCGCACGAAAGGCGUAACGAUCUGGGCGCUGUCUCGGAGAGAGGCUCGGCGAAAUAGAAUUGUCUGUGAAGAUGCGGACUACGUGCACCCGGACAGAAAGACCCUAUGAAGCUUUACUGUAGCUUGGUAUUGUGCCAGGGCUCUGAAUGCGCAGGAUAGGUGGGAGGCUUUGAUCCAUUGCUUGUGGGUAAUGGUGAGCCACUGGUGAGAUACCACUCUUUCAGAGCUAGGGUUCUAACGGUCACCCGUUAUCCGGGGACCGGACAGUAUCAGGUGGGCAGUUUGACUGGGGCGGUCGCCUCCUAAAAGGUAACGGAGGCGCGCAAAGGUUCCCUCAGGCUGGUUGGAAAUCAGCCGACGAGUGUAAAGGCAGAAGGGAGCUUGACUGUGAGACCUACAAGUCGAACAGGGACGAAAGUCGGCCUUAGUGAUCCGACGGUUCUGAGUGGAAGGGCCGUCGCUCAACGGAUAAAAGUUACUCUAGGAUAACAGGCUGAUCUCCCCCAAGAGUUCACAUCGACGGGGAGGUUUGGCACCUCGAUGUCGGCUCAUCGCAACCUGGGGCUGAAGUCGGUCCCAAGGGUUGGGCUGUUCGCCCAUUAAAGCGGUACGCGAGCUGGGCUCAGAACGUCGUGAGACAGUUCGGUCCAUAUCCGGUGCACGCGCAGGAACAUUGAGAGGAUUUCUCCCUAGUACGAGAGGACCGGGAGGAACGCACCUCUGGUGUACCAGUUAUCGUGCCAACGGUAAACGCUGGGUAGCCGUGUGCGGAGCGGAUAACCGCUGAAAGCAUCUAAGUGGGAAGCCCACCUCAAGAUGAGUGUUCCCAUGGCAUAAGCCAGUAAGGUCACGGGAAGAACACCCGUUGAUAGGCUCUACGUGGAAGCGUGGCAACACGUGAAGCGGAGGAGUACUAAUAGACCGAGGGCUU